UACGGGGGGAGCAAGCGUUGUUCGGAUUUACUGGGCGUAAAGGGCGCGUAGGCGGCCACUGCAAGUCGGUUGAGAAAUCUCCGGGCUUAACCCGGAAAGGUCAAUCGAUACUGCAGGGCUAGAGUGCGGAAGGGGCAACUGGAAUUCUCGGUGUAGCGGUGAAAUGCGUAGAUAUCAGGAGGAACACCGGUGGCGAAGGCGGCUUUCUGGACAGUAACCGACGCUGAGGCACGAAAGCUAGGGGAGCAAACAGG
rnacentral:rRNA from 1 species